UACGUAGGGUGCAAGCGUUGUCCGGAAUUAUUGGGCGUAAAGAGCUCGUAGGCGGUCUGUCGCGUCGGCUGUGAAAAACCCGAGGCUCAACCUCGGGCCUGCAGUCGAUACGGGCAAACUAGAGUACUGCAGGGGAGACUGGAAUUCCUGGUGUAGCGGUGAAAUGCGCAGAUAUCAGGAGGAACACCGGUGGCGAAGGCGGGUCUCUGGGCAGUAACUGACGCUGAGGAGCGAAAAGCGUGGGGGAGCGAACAGG
rnacentral:rRNA from 1 species